GAUGAACGCUGACAGAAUGCUUAACACAUGCAAGUCUACUUGAUUCUACUUCGGUAGUUGAUGGUGGCGGACGGGUGAGUAACGCGUAAAGAAUCUGCCCUUUAGUUUGGGAUAACCUUUGGAAACGAAGGCUAAUACCGGAUAUUAUGGAGACGUCGCAUGGCGACUCCAUGAAAGCUAUAUGCGCUAGAGGAGGACUUUGCGUCCCAUUAGUUAGUUGGUGAGGUAAUGGCUCACCAAGACCGCGAUGGGUAGCCAGCCUGAGAGGGUGAUCGGCCACAAGGGAACUGAGACACGGUCCUUACUCCUACGGGGGGCAGCAGUGGGGAAUAUUGGACAAUGGGCCACAAGCGUGAUCCAGCAAUUCUGUGUGCACGAAGAAGGUCUUCGGAUUGUAAAGUGCUUUCAGUAGGGAAGAAAAAAAUGACGGUACCUACAGAAGAAGCGACGGCUAAAUAUGUGCCAGCAGCCGCAGUAA
rnacentral:rRNA from 1 species